UUUUUUUUCUUUUUUUCUCGGACAAAAUGAAAAAAAUGAAAUGGGUUACAGUUCAAACAGCUUAAACAUUUAAACAUUAAACAGUUUAAACAUUUAAUAAACUCCCUCAAUAUCUAUUUUUAGGGAGUAGAAUCCUACUUCUUUCUCCUGGAAUCUUUGAAAUAUUUUUUAAGUCAGGAAGGAGAUACAAACUUUAAGAUGGAUCAUCACAGUCAGAAUUUUGCAAUCAAACACCUAUUUUUCACAGAAAGCACUUUUUUUUUUUUUUUUAAGGAUAAAUGUCCUUGUUUACUUGUUUGUUUCUUUCAGGUUUAUUUGCAAGGAUCUUCUGUUCUUUUUGUCUCUACCAUGCGCUACAAGUAAGAGAAGAAGUAUCUUAUUGGAAGUAUUUAAAAGAAGUGUCACCAUUAUAGAGGUCAGGCAUUUUGUUUUAAUAUUAUAUUUGUAAUUUUUACACUGCAUUAAUUAUUUUACUGUGGUGAGAUAUAUCAAUUAGAAUAGAGUUUUGCUAACAGUAACUUAAGAUCUUUUCCAAUUUACAUUUUCCUUUAAUAUCAAUGAUGAUUGUUUUGAAAGGACUUGAAUUGAAAAAUACUACUGAACCUCUUUGAAAAACAUGUUAUGAAAUAAAAAUACAGCUUUCAACCUCUACUAUGUUGGAUGUUUAAGUGUUAAAACAUUUACAUUGUUAUAUGCAUAUGACACAUUUUCUAUCUUCUUGUAUCUUCAGAAAUACUUUGCAGCCAAGCAAACAUAUAAACUGCACUGAAUUAUGCAUGAAAAAAUAUUUUAAGGCUCCAUCUGCCAGGCAUUUAUUACUGCUUGUUUCUUAAGUUAAAAAUGUUUACGCUACAUUAUGUUAGGUAUAAAACUAGUUGCAACACCUUAAUGGAUUUUAUUUCCUAAUAUUCUGUAUUAUCACAUGACUUGUAAGAACACUGGGAGAAAGAUCCUAGUUCAGCAGGACAUUUAAACAAGGUUUGCAAUUUCCACUGCAUUCAGAAUUUUGCUGAUUGAGACUGUUGAAGAGAAGAUGAAGUAAUGUAUAACAUUUUUGCUUAUACUAUCAAUAUCUUUAAUUUACUCUAAACCAAAAACAUUUAGCAUGUAUUAAUUGACAGAUGUUUCCAACCUUUUCCAUUCCAUAAUUUUAGGCUAUGUCCAUCAGAUAUUUGUAAGCUUGCCUCCAGCCUUACUUUUUUUUCGAAAAUGCAAUGCAAGUUAAUAUUUUUUUCUGAGCUCUACAGCCAAUUACUUCUGUUACUAGGAUACUGUUUACCAUAAAGAUCAUGAUGUAGAAUGUACUGGAUAAAAAGAAAUAAAAAACUAGUAGAACAAUGAAAAUCUUUCUGAGAGGAUAAAUCCAAACGAAUUGAUGUUUAGCUACUAUCCAGCUAUAAUAUAUACCUUUUUACAUGGGUCACAAGAAGCAACACUAAAUCUGUUAGAUUCCAUUGUUACAACAGAGGACAGAAAUAUUUAAAUGAGAGGUGAAAGAAGCAUUAUACACAUGGAGAUAGAAAUGAGCUAAGCACAGCAUUAGCAACUGUUACAUUGGCUUAUGACUCCACAGAUAAAAUGCUGUUGAAAAGAUAUCAAAUAAACUAACAUCCAGGAAAAAUAGAUUAAAGUAUAAAAUGUAUGAAUUUUUCAAGUAACCACAGAAAGAUAUUGAAAAAAAUGUACACCAGCUCUGCCUAUACUUGGAUGUAUAUUGUAUAUUGAUGUAUACUUGGAAGUGUGUUUGAGAAAUUGUGGCAGUCUGGUGAUGUUUCCACUGAUUGGAAAAGGAGGAACACAACCCUGUUUUUAAAAAGGGUAAGAAGGAAGAUACAGAGGACUACAGGUCACUCAGUCUCACCUUUGUGCCUAACAAGUUCAUGGAGCAAGCAGAUCCUCCUGGAAACUAUGCUAUGGCACAUGUAAAAUGAAGAGGUGAUUGGUGACAGCUGAUAUCUUCACUAAGUUUGGUGGUUGCCUGGGACAGGGUUACAUCAUUGGUGGUGAGGGAGUAGUGACUGAUCUCAUCUACCUGGACUUGUGCAAAACAUUUGACGCUAUCCCCCACAACAUCCUGGUCUCCAUACUGGAGAGAUGUGGAUUUGAUAGAAGGAUUACUUGGCAGGCGAGGUUUUGGCUGGAUGGUUGCACUUAAAUGGUUGUGGUCAAUAACUCAAUGUUCAGGUGGAGACCAGUGAUGAGUGGUGUUCCUGAGCCUGGUGUUCAGACCAGCUCUGUUUAACACCUUUGCUGGCAUCAUGGGCUUGAGUCCAGGCCUAGGAUUGAGUGCACUCUCAGCAGGUCUGCAAAAAAAGAGCAAGCUGUCAGGUGGGGUCAACGUUCUGGAGGGAAGAGGUGCCAUCCAGAGGGACCUGGACAGGCUUGAGAGGAGAAAACUUCUGAAGUUCAACAAGGCCGAAUGCAAGGUCCUGCCUGUGGGUUGGGGCAAUCUCAAGCACAAAGACACGUGGAAAAUGGAUUGAAAGCAGCUCUGAAGAGAGAGGUUUUGUGGUGUUGGCUGACAGGAAGCUCAACAUGACUGAUCAAUGUGCACUUGCAGCACAGAAACCAGCCGUGUCCUGGGCUGCAUCCAAAGCAGUGUGGGUAGCAGGGCAAGAUACUGGAAUCUUCCCCACUGCUCUUGUCUGGUGACACCCCACCUGUAGUACUGAGUCCAGUUCUGGGGCCCUCAGCAUAAGUAGGAUAUGAACAUGUUGAGGUGGGUCCAGAGAAGGGUCAUGAAGAUGAUAAAAGGGCUGGAGCAGCUCUCCUGUGAAGACAGAGAGUGAAAUUUGAUGCUGUUGAUCCUGAAGAAUGCUCUAUACAAACCUUCGAGCAGCCUUCCAGUCCUUAGAGCAGGUUAAAAGAAAGCUGGAGAGGGACCUUUAAGCAAGGCAUGUAGUGAUGGGAAAAGGGGUAAUGGCUUUCAACUAAAAGAGAGCAGGUUUAGAUUAGAUAUUAAAAUUCUUUACUGUAAAGAUGCUGAGACACUGGAACAGGUGCUCAGACAAGUUGUUGAUUCUUCAGUCCUGACAGUAUUCAAGGCCAGGUUGGAUAGGCCUUUGAGCAACCUUGUCAAGUGGAAGGUGUCCCUGCCUAUGGCAGGAGGUUUGGAACUAGAUGUCUUUAAGGUCCCCUCCAAGCCAAAACCUUCUGUGAUCCUAUAAAAAGAACUGUUUGACUUUGACAGCUAUGAAGCCCUGAAAUUGGUGGAGGAAUUCCCUCUAAAUGCCUACUUUUUGUACAUAAUUUUAAUGCAAAAAUAACUUUGAAGGUUGCCAGAGGUAUGUCAUAUUUGUGUUAAUUGUAAACAAUAAAGUUAAACACAUAGGUUUCCCCCUGCAGUUGUGCUGAAAGAUAAAUUCUCAAAGCUAACUGUGGAGAAAGAAGUAAUCCAGAAGAAGUGGUUUUGAAGUUGUUAUCUGGGACAAGGGAUGUCCUCCAGCAUUGCCGGCAGCUUUUAUGGUAAGUCUAUUCUUAUUCCCUGAAUAAAAUGAAAUAAAUACUUAAGUGUGAUUUCACCAGACUAUUUUGGUCAAUGUUACAAUAAUAUAAUGUUACCAAAUACUUAGACAAAGUAAGUGUUGGGGCAGAUAAGACAUAUAAAUUUAAGAAACAUGAUUACUGCCUCUAGCGACGAAGAAAUAAUUCUUUACUUAAACUACAUUUAAAAUAUGUUAUAUUUGUACAAGCAUCCAAAUUUUAUUUAUGCUUUUUUUUGUUUGAUUUUUUUUUGUGGGGGUGGGGUUUGUUGGUUUGUUUGGAUUUUUUGUUUGUUGUUUUUUGUUAAUGAAAGACAUUAAUAGAAAUUAAUUUAGGUUUGUUGGAAUAGAUGCUGUGAUCCCAGACUGAAGAUGUAAUAUAUGCUAUACAUGUUUCUAAUUCUGUUUAAACACAUUUGUGCUUAGGGGCAUGUAAGUUUGUUUUGGUAUGAAUCACUAAGACAAUAAUUGUUCAUCCUCAUUUUUCUUCCUAGCUGUAACUCUGCUUUCUACCUGCUUCCAUUGCAAUGUAGCAUCAUGAUCCUAAGUACUGUCAAAUAAUAUGUCAAAUAUAAUGCCAAAUUGCUACUACUACUAAAUAAAACUCUAAAGCCUAUUAAAAUGUAGCUUCCAAAGGAACAACAUCACUUAGAAUCAUAAAUUAAUCCUUGUUCAGUUUUAUGCUUACAAGGUUAAACUGCGAAGCAACACCUGGGUAAGCUGUUUAAAAAAGUCUCAUUCCAUCUACAUUAGCUGGACCAAAAUAUUAAGUACAGCUAUAUUCAAAACUGAAGUAAUAUGACAUUAGCAAAAUAUCAGACUCAGACUCGCAGACUUCUCUUGCCUUUCUGCAUGAAUACUAUAAGCGUACCUUUCCUUGCACUUUUUAAUGAAUUUUUGGCACUGACUUCCUCUGACAAUGCAACAAGAAACAAUAUAUCCAAGAAACAAUAUAACCAAAGAGUAAUGAUUUCCUCUGGACAGAUAAGUAUCUGAAUGGGCUGUGGUACUGAUUACUUGUUUCUGUUUUUAGCAAUUCAUAGUUCAUAGAAAAACACAAUAGAGAAGUUAGCAAUGAACCCUCCAAAAAAAAAACCAAGGAAAGACAGAGAUAUUUCUAAAGAUUUUAGUGUGUUAAUCUCUUUGGAACAAAAAAUAGUGAAAAAAAGAAAAGUUCAGAGUUGAAGCAGAAGACUCUCCAAUCUUAUACAUUAUUAAUUGCCUUAACAAAAGUGACAUGUACUUGUCAACAUUAAUUAAAAAAUUCAAAGCAUAUUAAUCUAUUUAAGGAAUCAUAUUAGGAAGCCUACCCAAUUUAACUGAUUAUUUAAAAGAAAUAAUAUGCAAUUUUUAGUGGACCGCCUACAACUUUUACUAAUCACCUUCAAUGAAAAUCAAAACUCGUGAUGACAGAAGAGCAUGGUGUCUUUAUCAAUGUUCCAAUAUUAAUUUACAUUUUGUUUUGCAUAAUUGAAAUGAAUUAGAAUAAAUGUGCAUCAAAUACUUAAGAAGUCAGUAACCUGAUUUCAGCAGAAAGUUAGUAUUUCAGUUUCACAGAAAGGUUUUCUGUAUUUUUGUUCUAUUUCUGCCCAUCAAAUUUAUGUAGUCUUUAUUCCAUUGCAAUAUUUCUCAUUUUCACCAUCAAAGAGAAGCAGCAUUUUCUAAAGAAGAGAUGAACACUGUUGCUAGCUUUAAGAAGUGAUUAGCACAAGAUGUUCAGGGUGAAAAUUCAAUGAAGUGGGGGAAUGAGGUUUAGGAAAAAGGUUUAAGCACUAC
ensembl:lncRNA